rnacentral:rRNA from 1 species
GUGAGGAAUUUUCCGCAAUGGGCGAAAGCCUGACGGAGCAAUGCCGCGUGAAGGAUGAAGGCCUAUGGGUUGUAAACUUCUUUUCUCAGAAAAGAAUUAUGACGGUAUCUGAGGAAUAAGCAUCGGCUAACUCUGUGCCAGCAGCCGCGGUAAGACAGAGGAUGCAAGCGUUAUCCGGAAUGAUUGGGCGUAAAGCGUCUGUAGGUUGUUUAAAAAGUAUUCUGUCAAAGAUUAGGGCUUAACCCUAGAUAGGCAGAAUAAACUUUUAAGCUGGAGGUUGGUAGAGGCAGAGGGAAUUCCCUGUGGAGCGGUGAAAUGCGUAGAUAUCGGUAGGAACACCAAAGGCGAAGGCACUCUGCUGGGCCAAUACUAACACUGAGAGACGAAAGCGAGGGGAGCAAAUGGGAUUAGAAACCCUGGUAGUCC